rnacentral:tRNA from 1 species
UCCGCGCCGGGCGCCGGCGGCGCGCUCGGCGCCUGCCACGCGCUGGACCUGCCGCUGCUGUUCGGCACCUUCGGCGCCGACC